rnacentral:rRNA from 1 species
AGUGAACGCUGGCGGUAGGCCUAACACAUGCAAGUCGAACGGCAGCACAGUAAGAGCUUGCUCUUACGGGUGGCGAGUGGCGGACGGGUGAGGAAUACAUCGGAAUCUACUUUUUCGUGGGGGAUAACGUAGGGAAACUUACGCUAAUACCGCAUACGACCUACGGGUGAAAGCAGGGGAUCUUCGGACCUUACGCGAUUGAAUGAGCCGAUGUCGGAUUAGCUAGUUGGCGGGGUAAAGGCCCACCGAGGCGACGAUCCGUAGCUGGUCUGAGAGGAUGAUCAGCCACACUGGAACUGAGACACGGUCCAGACUCCUACGGGAGGCAGCAGUGGGGAAUAUUGGACAAUGGGCGCAAGCCUGAUCCAGCCAUACCGCGUGGGUGAAGAAGGCCUUCGGGUUGUGAAGCCCUUUUGUUGGGAAAGAAAAGCAGCAGGUUAAUACCCCGCUGUUCUGACGGUACCCAAAGAAUAAGCACCGGCUAACUUCGUG